UAUUUUCUUAUUUUUAUUUGCCCUUUCUAUAGGUCUGUAGCAACAACAUAGAAUUUACACCUGUUGUCUACCUGGAAGAUGAUGAAACUGAAGUCAUUUCACUGGAUGACAUAGAAAGAGAGUGGAUCGAGGAAGACAUAAUUAGGCCGAUCACUCCAGAUUAUUCAAGGAGAAGUUGCUCAAUAGAAAAUGAAGAUCUUGCUUGGGAGCCACCGCGCUGUAGUAGCAACAUCACACCUAUGCCUUAUGGCUCCCAGGAAAACAAUGAAGUUGUAUUAUUUAAACUUAACGACAGUCAAAGAAAGUGGAUUGAGGAAGAGCA